rnacentral:rRNA from 1 species
AUGGACAAGCACGCCGCCGCCGACGCCGCCGCCGCCGCAGCAGCAGAGGACGUCGAGACGGGCGAGCACGAGCGCAAAGGGACGGUAUGGACGGCGACGGCGCACAUUGUGACGGCGGUGAUCGGCUCCGGCGUGCUGGCGCUGGCGUGGAGCGUGGCGCAGCUGGGAUGGGUGGCCGGCCCGCUCGCGCUGGUGGGCUUCGCGUGCGUCACCUACUACACUUCCACGCUGCUCGCCAACGCCUACCGCGCGCCCGACCCCGUCACCGGCGCCCGGAACCACACCUACACCGACGCCGUCCGAUCCUACCUCAGUCCCAGAGAGGUCUUCAUGUGCGGGAUCGCCCAGUACGGGAACCUGUGGGGCACCAUGGUCGGCUACACCAUCACCGCGACCAUCAGCAUGGUUGCGAUCAGGAGGUCGGACUGCGUGCACGAGAACGGCCAGGGCGCGCGCUGCGACGCGCCGGGGACCGUGCUCAUGCUGGCCUUCACCGUGGUCCAGGUGGUGCUGUCCCAGUUCCCCGGCCUGGAGCACAUCACGUGGCUCUCGGUCGUCGCGGCGGUCAUGUCGUUCGCCUACUCGUUCAUCGGGCUCGCGCUCUCGGUGACGGAGUGGGCGUCGCACGGCCUCCGACCGGACGGCAGGAUCGCAGGCGCCACUGCGGCGUCGUCCAGCAAAAAGACGUGGGACGUGCUCCUUGCCCUUGGGAACAUUGCCUUUGCCUACACUUUCGCAGAAGUGCUGAUUGAGAUCCAGGAUACGCUGAAGUCCCCACCAUCUGAGCACAAGACCAUGAAGAAGGCAGCAAUGUAUGGAAUUGGAGCCACCACCAUAUUCUACAUCUCUGUUGGCUGCGCCGGAUAUGCCGCAUUUGGUUCAGAUGCUCCCGGCAACAUCCUGACGGCCCCCGGAUUAGGGCCAUUCUGGCUCGUCGACAUCGCCAACAUGUGCCUCAUCCUCCACCUGAUUGGGGCGUAUCAGGUCUAUGCACAGCCCAUAUUCGCUACAGCAGAGAGGUGGAUUGUCUCCAGGUGGCCAGACACCAAGUUCAUCAGCAGUGCAUACACCGUUAGCAUCCCGCUCAUGCAACGAGGCUCGGUGACCGUCGCGCCCUACAAGCUCGUCUUACGGACCGUCAUAGUUAUUGCAACAACAGUGGUGGCAAUGAUGAUACCAUUCUUCAACGCGGUGCUAGGGCUCCUCGGCGCGUUCAGCUUCUGGCCACUAACUGUGUACUUCCCCAUAAGCAUGCACAUUGCCCAGGGGAAGAUCACCAAGGGGACGAAGUGGUAUCUCCUGCAAGGUUUGAGCAUGGUCUGCCUGAUGAUCUCAGUGGCAGUGGGGAUAGGCUCUGUGAGUGACAUCGUGGAUAGCCUCAAGGUCUCCACCCCUUUCAAAACUGUCAGCUAG